UAAUGGUUACCUCCUGCGUUGCCUACGGAUGCACAAACAGGCUGAAGAAAGGUUGUGGCCUCACAUUUCACCUGUUUCCAAAGAAUGCAGAAGUUCGGAGUCUUUGGGAGCGGGCAGUUCGCCGUGAAGGGUGGCGCGCUAAGGAUGGAGACCGCCUGUGCUCUGUACAUUUCACUCCUGAGUGCUUUGACCGCACUGGGCAAACGACGCGACUGCGGGUGGGAAGUGUGCCCACGUCGUUUCCAGCUUUUCCGCCUCAUCUGCAGAAACCUGUCAAACAGAAGCGUCCCGACCCCAAGUCUCGAGAUUUCCCGGCCCC
rnacentral:lncRNA from 1 species